UAUGUCUCCGUGUGGGAAACUCAGAAGACCUAGGGGAAUAUAAACGCUUUCCCUGCCCGCCCCCCGCCCCCCGUGUAGAAUCCUGGUAAGUGAAACUUAAAAGAGAGCCCCCUCAGGAAAGUCAGACCCCAUCUCUGACCCCUUCGGCACUGGCUUCUCUUUCUUACUGCCUGUCUCUUGUUAGCAUCUUGACUCAGGAGCAUGAGAGGGGAGAAAAAUGAAAGGUCAACCUUGUUUCUUAUGCACAGUUUCAGCAUAAGUUUCACUGUCUUUAGUUGAACUCUUGAUCGUUGGUUUUUGGAGAUGUCUGGGGUUUCAUUUUUCCCCCAGUUCUCUUAGUUUUCACGUCUCAAUAUAAUCUAGAGUUCAUUGUUCAUCACGAGAGAACCUGCUUAAUCGUUUGCUUAGGUUAGAAAUCUGUUCAGAUUACCAGAAAGUUUUCUUCUAUUUGGGAUCAUCAGAGUUCGAUCAUAUUAACAUAGUCCAAAUACGUUUGCUAAGAUUUCGUCUUUCGUUAUUAAAGUUCCCAAAUAUAUUAUGGUGUUUUAUCAUUAUGAACAUCAACUCUCAUUGUUUAGAACUGUGCUUCCUUAACUGUUUUAUUUUUUUUAUUUCUUUGGGGUGAGGUUUCUGCUUUAUUUUAAGUGUGGUUGCCAUACAAUAUUAUAUGUUACAGGUAUGCAAUACAGUGAUUCACAAGUUUUAAAGGAUAUACUUCAUUUAUAGUUAUAAAACAUUGGCUGUAUUCCGUCUGUUGUAUAGUAUAUCCUUGUAGCCUUUUUUUUUUUUUUUGGCCACACCCACAACAUAUGAAAAUUCCUGGGUCAGGGAUCGAACCCACCCCACAGCAGCAACCUGAGCCACUGCAGUGAUAAGGCUGAAUCUUUAACCUGCUGAGCCACAUGGGAACUCCCCCUUGGAGCAUAUUUUAUUUUUUAAAUGAUUUUUUAUUUUUUUCCAUUAUAGCUAGUUUACAGUAUUCUGUCAAUUUUCUACUGUACACAAGGUGACCCAGUCACACAUACACAUAUACAUUCUUUUUUCUUACAUUAUCAUGCUCCAUCAUAAGUGACUAGAUAUAGUUCCCAGUGGCUUAAUUACAUCAAAACAAAAGCCUAAGAUUUUUAAAAAUGAUUACAUUAAACAAACAUACAAUUACUCUGACAAACUGCUCUAAAGUCUCUAAACACUACUCCCAAUUUCCCUUCUUUUCUAUUUUUAAGGGCCGCACCCAUGGCAUAUGGAAGUACCCAGGCUAGGAGUCAAAUUGGAGCUGUAGCCACCAGCUUACAUCACAGCCACAGCAAUACCAGAUCUGAGCCAUGUCUAUGACCUUCACCACAGCUCAUGGCAAUGCAGGAUCCUUGACCCACUGAGCAAGACAGGGAUUGAACCUGCAUCCUCAUGGAUACCAGUCAGAUUCGUUUCCACCGUGCCACAAUGAGAACUCCUACUCCCAGUUUCUGUACUGGGUCCAGGGCUGGUCUGCAGGUCUCACUUGGAGCCCCACUGUCUGAAUGGAAUAUAGACAGGUUAGGAGACCAUACCCUCAAAGCAGGUUUAGGAGGGCUGUCAUCUUCAUAUUUCUUCUAUCUCUAUUUAUCCCUCCCUCCAAAGGUCAAGUGCAGGGAAAAAAAAAUCCUGUUUACUUAACAUUUUUCUAUUUAAAAAAAAUUAUAGGACAAUACAUGAUUGUUAAAAUGUUUCAAACAAUAUAAAGGCAAAUAUAGAAAAGGCUGGUCAUUGGUAUUCCCUGGUGGCGAGUGGAUCUGGUGUUGUCACUCGUGACACAAGUUCAAUCCCUGGCCCAGGAAUUUCCGGGUGUCAUGGUCGUGGCCAAAAAAAAAAAAAAGAGAGAGGGAAGGUUAAGUUCAUUGCUUUCAUUGUCUCUCCCCAUUUCUUAGAUUGUUUAUUUUUCUUUCUCUGGAUGUAACAUAAACACAAAUAUAUACGUAUAUAUGCAUAUAUAAGGUAAUUUU
rnacentral:lncRNA from 1 species